GACGAACGCUGGCGGCGUGCUUAACACAUGCAAGUCGAACGGAAAGGCCUGGCUUUUGUUGGGUGUUCGGGUGGCGAGCGUGUGAAUAACACGUGAGUAACCUGCGUUUUAUUCUGCGAUAACUGCAGUAAACCUGGGCUACUGCCUGUUAGUAGCUCCUGCUGCAUGGUGUGGUGUGUGAGGUUUCGGCGGGUGGGGUGGUACUUGGGGCUUAGCAGCUUGUUGGUGGGGUAGUGGCUUAGGAAGGCUUCGACGGGUAGCCGGCCUGAGAGGGUGACCGGCGACAUGGGGACUGAGACAAGGAGCAGAAUCCGAGGGGAGGCAGCAGUGGGGAAUAUUGCACAGUGGGCGGGAGCCUGAGGCAGCAAUGCCGGGUGCGGGAUGACGGCCUUCGUGUUGUAAAGCGCAUUCGACUGUGACGAAGCGGGAGUGACGGUAAUGGGAGAAGAAGCACCGGCUAACUACGUG
rnacentral:rRNA from 1 species